rnacentral:rRNA from 1 species
AGUGAGCGCUGGCGGUAGGCCUAACACAUGCAAGUCGAACGGCAGCACAGUAAGAUCUUGCUCUUACGGGUGGCGAGUGGCGGACGGGUGAGGAAUACAUCGGAAUCUACUUUUUCGUGGGGGAUAACGUAGGGAAACUUACGCUAAUACCGCAUACGACCUACGGGUGAAAGCAGGGGAUCUUCGGACCUUGCGCGAUUGAAUGAGCCGAUGUCGGAUUAGCUAGUUGGCGGGGUAAAGGCCCACCAAGGCGACGAUCCGUAGCUGGUCUGAGAGGAUGAUCAGCCACACUGGAACUGAGACACGGUCCAGACUCCUACGGGAGGCAGCAGUGGGGAAUAUUGGACAAUGGGCGCAAGCCUGAUCCAGCCAUACCGCGUGGGUGAAGAAGGCCUUCGGGUUGUAAAGCCCUUUUGUUGGGAAAGAAAAGCAGCAGGUUAAUACCCCGCUGUUCUGACGGUACCCAAAGAAUAAGCACCGGCUAACUUCGUG